CGAGUUAGAUCUACUGGAAGUGGAAAAUCACGUGUUGGAGAGAAAACGACACGCCCAGUGUCAGGACCAAUGAGAGCUAUGAUACAAAGAACUCCCAGUCAAGUCGAAUUUUUUAAACAUUUGGAAGAGAAAAUAAACAGUGAAGAAAAUGAAGAUGAACAGACAAACAGUAGUGCAAGUUGACACAAAGAAAGCUUCUGAACUGCUUUAAUGGAAGAAAUAUAAUACGUUGUUAAAACGUUU